rnacentral:rRNA from 1 species
AUACGGAAGGUCCGGGCGUUAUCCGGAUUUAUUGGGUUUAAAGGGAGCGCAGGCGGAGAUGCAAGCGUGACGUCAAAUUUCGGGGCUCAACCCCGUCUCGCGUCGCGAACUGCGUCCCUUGGUUGCGGGAAGGGGAGGCGGAACUCGUGGUGGAGCGGUGAAAUGCAUAGAUAUCACGAAGAACUCCGAUCGCGAAGGCAGCCUUCCGGCCCGUCAACGACGCUCAUGCUCGAAGGUGCGGGUAUCAAACAGGAUUAGAUACCCUGGUAGUCCGCACAGUAAACGAUGGACACCCGCGGUUUGGCCUGUAUGGCUGAGCCGCCAAGCGAAAGCGUUAAGUGUCCCACCUGGGGAGUACGCCGGCAACGGUGAAACUCAAAUGAAUUGACGGGG